GGGGAGGGAGAGAGAGAGAGAGAGCUACUAACUCACUUCCACCAAAAAUGACCACAAAUACUCCCCAGUGAAUUAAUUUAAAGGUGCUCCAUCACCACAUUCACAUUGUGGAUUUAAAAAAGAGAAAAAGAAAAUAGAAUGAAAUGAGAAUCCACGUGAAUAUCACCAAGAACUAUUCAUGGACGACCCCUAUAUAAUUUCAUUCAUUUCCAUUUUUGAAAAUUUUAAAACCAAGAAAAGAAAAAGGAAAAGGUACUUCUCUUUGAAAUAUGUAUGGUCUUACAUGUUAGCUAGUCAGUGUAGAGCAUUUAUUCAGUGCAGUCAGUACAUAAGAAAAUAAUGCACCUUGCCCUCAAAAACAUAGGUCCACCUGAAAUUGUGGAUGGCGGGCCCACAUGAGAGAGAGUGGAUUAUUUUCUAAUGUACCCAGUAUAUCAUACAAUUCAUAUCCAUUAUAUUUAGAAAUUAGUUGACUAAGGGUUUGUUUGGCAUUGCUGUUGGAACUGCUGUUG
rnacentral:misc_RNA from 1 species